rnacentral:rRNA from 1 species
AGCGAACGCUGGCGGCAGGCCUAACACAUGCAAGUCGAACGAACUCUUCGGAGUUAGUGGCGGUCGGGUGAGUAACACGUGGUAACGUGCAUUUAGGUUAGGAAUAACUCAGGGAAACUUGAGCUAAUACCGAAGGUGCUCUUCGGGGGAAAGAUGUAUCGCCUUUAGAGCGGCCUGCGUCAGAUUAGCUAGUUGGGGAGGGAAAGGCUCCCCAAGGCGUCGAUCAGGGGCUGGUCUGAGACGAUGAUCAGGCACAUUGGGAAUACGACACGGCCCAAACUGCUACGGAAGGCAGCAGUGGGGAAUCUUGCGCGAUGGGCGAUGGCCUGACGCAGCCAUGCCGGGUGAAUGAUGAAGGUCUUAGGAUUGUAAAUUUCUUUCACCGGGGACGAUAAUGACGGUACCCGGAGAAGAAGCCCCGGCUAACUUCGUG